rnacentral:rRNA from 1 species
GAUGAACGCUGGCGGCGUGCUUAACACAUGCAAGUCGAACGAAGCACUGUGGACAGAGUCUUCGGAUAAUAGAAACAGUGACUGAGUGGCGGACGGGUGAGUAACGCGUGGGUAACCUGCCUCAUACAGGGGGAUAACAGUUAGAAAUGACUGCUAAUACCGCAUAAGCGCACGAUACCGCAUGGUAUCGUGUGAAAAACUCCGGUGGUAUGAGAUGGACCCGCGUCUGAUUAGCUAGUUGGCAGGGUAAUGGCCUACCAAGGCAACGAUCAGUAGCCGACCUGAGAGGGUGACCGGCCACAUUGGGACUGAGACACGGCCCAA